rnacentral:rRNA from 1 species
ACGUAGGGUGCGAGCGUUAAUCGGAAUUACUGGGCGUAAAGCGUGCGCAGGCGGCUUUGCAAGACAGAGGUGAAAUCCCCGGGCUCAACCUGGGAACUGCCUUUGUGACUGCAAGGCUAGAGUACGGCAGAGGGGGAUGGAAUUCCGCGUGUAGCAGUGAAAUGCGUAGAUAUGCGGAGGAACACCAAUGGCGAAGGCAAUCCCCUGGGCCUGUACUGACGCUCAUGCACGAAAGCGUGGGGAGCAAACAGG